GACGAACGCUGGCGGCGUGCUUAACACAUGCAAGUCGAACGGAAAGGCCCUGCUUUUGUGGGGUGCUCGAGUGGCGAACGGGUGAGUAACACGUGAGUAACCUGCCCUUGACUUUGGGAUAACUUCAGGAAACUGGGGCUAAUACCGUAUAGGAGCUCCUGCUGCAUGGUGGGGGUGGGAAAGUUUCGGCGGUUGGGGAUGGACGCGCGGCUUAUCAGCUUGUUGGUUGGGUAGUGGCUUACCAAGGGUUUGACGGGUAGCCGGCCUGCGAGGGUGACCGGCGACAUUGGGACUGCGGUACGGCCCAGAGUCCUACGGGAGGCAGCAGUGGGGAAUCUUGCACAAUGGGCGGAAGCCUGAUGCAGAAACGCCGCGUGCGGGAUGACGGCCUUCGGGUUGUAAACCGCUUUAGCCUGUGACGAAGCGUGAGUGACGGUAAUGGGUAAAGAAGCACCGGCUAACUACGUG
rnacentral:rRNA from 1 species